GGAAAAGAAUACCGGGAAAGAACCCGAGACAUCGAGUCAAGGCCAAGAGGUGACUUAUAUAAGGUGAAAUGAAUAAUAAAGCAGCUGAGCAAGAUUUCUGAAAAGACAUAGUGAGACUAUUUUGGGGUAUAUCAUAGGUAUACCCUUGUACUUUAGAUUUUGAUGUAAUUCUGUAAUUAUAUGUAUGAAAUUUCCUUUGAGCAGUUGUACCAACUUUUUUGUAAUAUAUUUUUGGAUUGCAAUCAAAUACAAAUUAUUGUAAUAUUAUCUUGAGAUUUUAUGUACUUAUAAUGUUUUGUACUACUAAAUUUUUAAUACUCCCAUGAAUGUAAAAAUUAAUUUUUUCACCAUAA